ACUCUUCAACCCACCGGUUCCUUGUUGAAGCGGCUGGUGUUUGGAUUCUGAGUGUUGCUGGUCUAGCCUCUAGUGGGCCAAGGCGAAGCUCAUUCGUAAUACAUUAGCAACUCAAUUUCGAGUAUUCGGAUUGACUCGGCGUAAUAGACUAUUCGCUGAGGACACUACGCAAGUGGUGGCCGAAUUUCGAGGUAGAAGCUUCUAACUCAUCAUUUGAAGUCAAAACUUUUAAG
rnacentral:misc_RNA from 1 species